rnacentral:rRNA from 2 species
CUUGCAACGAUGAAGAACGCAGCGAAAUGCGAUACGUAGUGUGAAUUGCAGAAUUCCGCGAAUCAUCGAGUCUUUGAACGCAAGUUGCGCCCGAGGCUUGUCCAAGGGCAUUUCCGCUAGAGCGUCACC